rnacentral:rRNA from 1 species
GAAUUGUAGUUUAUAGAAGCGUUUUCGGUGGCAGCCUGGGUAUAAAUCCUUUGGAAUAGGGUAUCAUAGAGGGUGAGAAUCCCGUCUUUGACUCAGUGCAUGCUACUAUGUGAUACGUUUUCAAAGAGUCGAGUUGUUUGGGAAUGCAGCUCAAAAUGGGUGGUAAAUUUCAUCUAAGGCUAAAUAUUGGCGAGAGACCGAUAGCGAACAAGUACCGUGAGGGAAAGAUGAAAAGAACUUUGAAAAGAGAGUUAAACAGUGCGUGAAAUUGUUGAAAGGGAAACGUUUGACACCAGUUAUGCGGGUGGAAAAUCAGUCUUUUGCAAUGGGGAGUUGUGGGCGUUCAGACCGCAAGGCUGGCGUUUGCUUCAUCUCUGUUGUAAGUGAUGCACUUUUUCAUUUGCAGGUCAACAUCAGUUUGCUUUGCUGGACAAAACCCCAAGGGAAGGUGGCAGCUUAGGCUGUGUUAUAGCCCUGGGGCGAUACAGUGGAGUGGACUGAGGUUUCGCAGUGUGUGCUCUCGGGCAAGGCUGACUGGGUGCUAUGGGAUCGUUCGGCGUACAAUGCAUGCAUUUUGCGUCGUGUCUUUUUCAUACUCGCUCAACUCGGCUCUUCCACGCUUAGGAUGUUGACUUAAUGGUUUUAAACGACCCGUCUUGAAACACGGACCAAGGAGUCUAACAUAUAUGCAAGUGUUUGGGUGGCAAACCCAUGCGCGUAAUGAAAGUGAACGUA